rnacentral:rRNA from 1 species
UACGUAGGGUGCGAGCGUUGUCCGGAAUUAUUGGGCGUAAAGGGCUCGUAGGCGGUUUGUCGCGUCGGGAGUGAAAACCUUGGGCUUAACUCAGGGCUUGCUUUCGAUACGGGCAGACUAGAGGUAUGCAGGGGAGACUGGAAUUCCUGGUGUAGCGGUGAAAUGCGCAGAUAUCAGGAGGAACACCGGUGGCGAAGGCGGGUCUCUGGGCCGAUACUGACGCUGAGGAGCGAAAGCGUGGGGAGCGAACAGG